ACAAAGACAAUCGGAAUCUGAUUUUCAUCUGGUUGGGGAACAGAAAAUGUGUCUGCUUUCCAAACCAAUGACUCAGCUCCUCUAUAUGUAUUACUAUGAUACUUAUUGCCCUUUGUUGUUAUUUCAAUAGCUCCACAAUUUUUGCUAUAUCGAAUGAAAUGACGCUUUCGAUUACUCCGUCUCUGAUCCACAUUCCGGAUUUUGUACACUA
rnacentral:lncRNA from 1 species